rnacentral:snoRNA from 1 species
GCACUGCAUCUUUCCUGUUCCUUGCUGUGCAGUGUGGGUCUGGGGAUAGCUAGUGCCACAGCUCAGCAGUGGAAAUCCAGAUGGGUUGCUUUCCACUGGUUUGGAACUCAUUUCUACACCUCUGCAACAUUU